ACAGCAGCAGCCGCGGUAAUACAGAGGGUGCAAGCGUUAAUCGGAAUUACUGGGCGUAAAGCGCGCGUAGGUGGUUUGUUAAGUUGGAUGUGAAAUCCCCGGGCUCAACCUGGGAACUGCAUCCAAAACUGGCAAGCUAGAGUAUGGUAGAGGGUGGUGGAAUUUCCUGUGUAGCGGUGAAAUGCGUAGAUAUAGGAAGGAACACCAGUGGCGAAGGCGACCACCUGGACUGAUACUGACACUGAGGUGCGAAAGCGUGGGGAGCAAACAGGAUUAGAUACCCCGGUAGUCCCUGUCUCUUAUAC
rnacentral:rRNA from 1 species